rnacentral:hammerhead_ribozyme from 1 species
AUUUAACUGACGAGUCCCAAAUAGGACGAAAUGUAUAUUCUAGAU